UACAGAGGUCCCAAGCGUUGUUCGGAUUCACUGGGCGUAAAGGGUACGUAGGUGGUGAGGUAAGUCGGAUGUGAAAGCUCGGAGCUCAACUCCGAAAUGGCAUUGGAAACUACCUUGCUCGAGGGUUGGAGGGGGGACUGGAAUGCUUGGUGUAGGCAGUGAAAUGCGUAGAUAUCAAGCGGAACACCAGUGGCGAAGGCGAGUCCCUGGACAACUCCGUGACACUGAGGCACGAAAGCUAGGGGAGCAAACAGG
rnacentral:rRNA from 1 species